rnacentral:rRNA from 1 species
UUUAAGUUUUUAAGAGCACAUGGUGGAUGCCUUGGCAUUAGGAGCCGAUGAAGGACGUUGUAGCCUGCGUUAAGCCUCGGGGAGUUGGCAAACAAGCUGUGAUCCGAGGGUGUCCGAAUGGGGAAACCCGG